rnacentral:rRNA from 1 species
GACGAACGCUGGCGGCGCGCCUAACACAUGCAAGUCGAACGAGCGAGGGAGAGCUUGCUUUCUUGAGCGAGUGGCGAACGGGUGAGUAUCGCGUGAGGAACCUGCCUCUAACAGGGGGACAACAGUUGGAAACGACUGCUAAUACCGCAUAAGCUCACGGGGCCGCAUGGCACCGAGGGAAAAGGAGCCAUCCGCUUUGAGAUGGCCUCGCGUCCGAUUAGCCAGUUGGUGAGGUAACGGCCCACCAAGGCGCCGAUCGGGAGGCGGAGAGAGAGAUUGAACAGCCACGUAGGGACUGAGACGCAGCCCAGACUCCUACGGGAGGCAGGAGUGGGGGAUAUUGCAAAGUGGGGGAAACCCUGAUGCAGCGACGCCGCGUAGAGGAAGAAGGUCUUCGGAUAGUAAAGUCCUAUUGUUGGGGAAGAUAAUGACGGUACCGGACAAGGAAGUGACGGCUAACUACGUG